CCCUUAGAUGUUCUGGGCCGCACGCGUGCUACACUGACCGGCGCAACAAGUUUCUUUCCUUGGCUCGAUAGGCCUGGGUAAUCUUUGAACGCCGGUCGUGAUGGGGAUAGAUCCUUGCAAUUUUUGAUCUUCAACGAGGAAUUCCUAGUAAAUGCGAGUCAUCAUCUCGCGUUGAUUACGUCCCUGCCCUUUGUACACACCGCCCGUCGCACCUACCGAUUGAAUGGUCCGGUGAAGCCUCGGGAGUGCGAAUGCUUCGUGCGGACGCGAGAACUUGGCUAAACCUUACCAUUUAGAGGAAGGUGAAGUCGUAACA
rnacentral:rRNA from 1 species